AUGAAAGUGAACUCUUUAAGGGCAUACGAUACAGUUACAGGGAAGGUAAUGACGUUGCUAACGUAAAGUGUUAUUUUCGCGACGUCAAACUCUGACAUAUCGGGAAAAGAUGCAUUUUUCGACUGAUUUUUAUCAUUCAAACUGAUUUAAUUUGAAAACGAGUGCAUGGACCCCUAUUUUUUUAAAACAGCAAUUUGUUUCAUUUUGCAAGGAGAUUAUGUGACCCAAAUUUUAUAAAACUGUAAAUAGCGC
rnacentral:lncRNA from 1 species